UACGGGGGGUGCGAGCGUUGUCCGGAAUCACUGGGCGUAAAGGGCGCGUAGGUGGUUUGAUAAGGGUGUGGUGAAAGCCCGGGGCUCAACCCCGGGUCUGCCGUGCCGACUGUCAAACUCGAGGGCUGUAGAGGCAGACGGAAUUCCGGGUGUAGCGGUGGAAUGCGUAGAUAUUGGGAAGAACACCUGAGGCGAAGGCGGGUUGCUGGGCCGACACUGACGCUGAGGCGCGAAAGCGUGGGUAGCAAACAGG
rnacentral:rRNA from 1 species